rnacentral:lncRNA from 1 species
UGAAUGUGGUAAGCUUCAACAGUGACAUGGUGAGUAGCUCCAAAGUCUGGAUACCAAGUGGAAGGUCGAGUAAGUUCAGUGUUGACAUUCAUUGCUUGAGGAUGAAGAGAAGGAGUGUAAGUAGAUUCAGGAUAAGUGGAGUCCCGAACAGAUUAGGUGGUUGAGAAGUGAUGAGAUCUUGGUCCAGGUCCAAGUAUGGAACUGUUGGUGUUCGGGUUAAAGGUGUAGGGAUUUGGAGGAAGAUUGGUGUAGUAUGAGUGAGGUAAGUAAUUGUUGUUGUGGUGAGAUGGUAAGGUGUGGUAAUUAGGUUGGCCCAGUGGGUUAAAUUGAGAGUGUGAAUGAUAGGGAUUAAAAUGUGAAGGUCGAGGUGGAAGAUAAUUGGUAGGAUAGUAAUUGUUUGGUUUAAUUGGAGCAUAGUUAGAGUAACCAAUCGGUGCAUAGUAGCAUGUGACACGCUCAUGACCAGAGCGGUUACAGAAAUCACAAUAGAGGUGAGAUCUGUUGAAGCUUCGUC